UUUUUGCGUGAGGGAUUGAAGUGGAGCUCUUUAUUUAUUGAGCUUCGUUUGAAAAACGAGACUUAAUAAAUAAAAGCGGGAACGUAAAGCCCGACCCGAA
rnacentral:sRNA from 1 species